AGCGAACGCUGGCGGCAGGCCUAACACAUGCAAGUCGAACGGAUCCUUCGGGAUUAGUGGCGGACGGGUGAGUAACACGUGGGAACGUGCCCUUUGGUUCGGAACAACUCAGGGAAACUUGAGCUAAUACCGGAUGUGCCCUUCGGGGGAAAGAUUUAUCGCCAUUGGAGCGGCCCGCGUCUGAUUAGCUAGUUGGUGAGGUAACGGCCCACCAAGGCGACGAUCAGUAGCUGGUCUGAGAGGAUGAUCAGCCACACUGGGACUGAGACACGGCCCAGACUCCUACGGGAGGAAGCAGUGGGGAAUCUUGCGGAAUGGGCGAAAGCCUGACGCAGCCAUGCCGCGUGAAUGAUGAAGGUCUUAGGAUUGUAAAAUUCUUUCAGCGGGGACGAUAAUGACGGUACCCGCAGAAGAAGCUCCGGCUAACUUCGUG
rnacentral:rRNA from 1 species